UUUAAGUUUUUUAUUUACAAGGUUUUUAAAUUUGAUUAUAGUUUUAAGUAGAGUUACGAUGGUGUUAUCUAUUAUUGAUUCAUAUAGUGGGCAAUGUUUUUUUACCCCGGCAGUUUAUUGUUUGUAUAAAUUUUGUUCCAGAAUAAUCGGCUAUACUUUAUAAACUUAUACUCUAAUUAAUGUUAAUUUAGAGUUAUUUAAUGUUUGAUUUUCAAUUUUAGGGUGAAAUCAGAGGUUGUUUUUAUAUUUACUCUAAAUUUUAAGAUUUAGUAAACAAACCAGAUUAGUACCUGGUUAGAUCAAAUUUAAAAGAGCAGGAGUAAAGUUUUGUUUAAACUGGAAGGAUAUUGGCAGCUUUUUAAAUUAUCUUUGGAGGCUGAGUAGUGAAUGAGAGCCCUCAUUUUCAACUUUUUCUUUAGGCGCAUGUAUGUUCGUUUAUUUUAUUCUUAAGGAUUGUAAUUUAAGUUGUCACUGUAAAAAUAGAUAGAUAUCUGGCUUAUGAGAAAGAUUUAAUUUGGCCUACAAUAGUAUAUUCUUUGGAUUCUAAAAUGACAACCUGCAAUGAAAAUUGUAAAAGACGGUACAUUGCUUUUAAUGGGUGGCUGAAGUUUAUUUAAUUACAGCACAAAACAUCCAUCAAUUGCCAAUAGGGGCGGAGGUGGUAGUAAACUAGAGUCAUCGGAAUUUUACUCCGGAUAUUUC
rnacentral:ncRNA from 1 species